AAAAGCAUGAGCUACCUGCAGUCGAGGGGUAAAUAGUAGCUUGCUACUGAUGACGACCGGCGCACGGGUGCGCACCGCGUAUGGAACNCUACCUUUUACAGGNGGAAUAGCUCUUUGGAAACGAAGAUUAAUGCCCCAUAGCAUCAUUAUGCAGCAUUGCAUUUUGAUUAAAGGCUUCGGCCGGUAAAAGAUGGCCAUGCGUCCCAUUAGUUAGUUGGUAAGGUAACGGCUUACCAAGACUACGAUGGGUAGGGGCCCUGAGAGGGGGAUCCCCCACACUGGUACUGAGACACGGACCAGACUCCUACGGGAGGCAGCAGUGAGGAAUAUUGGACAAUGGAGGAGACUCUGAUCCAGCCAUGCCGCGUGCAGGAAGAAUGCCCUAUGGGUAGUAAACUGCUUUUAUACAGGAAGAAAAAGGGCUACGUGUAGCCCACUGACGGUACUGUAAGAAUAAGGACCGGCUAACUCCGUGCCAGCAGCCGCGGUAAUACGGAGGGUCCGAGCGUUAUCCGGAAUUAUUGGGUUUAAAGGGUCCGUAGGCGGGCGAUUAAGUCAGUGGUGAAAGUCUGCAGCUCAACUGUAGAAUUGCCUUUGAUACUGGUCGUCUUGAGUUAUAGUGAAGUUGCCGGAAUAUGUAGUGUAGCGGUGAAAUGCAUAGAUAUUACAUAGAACACCGAUUGCGAAGGCAGGUGACUAACUAUAUACUGACGCUGAUGGACGAAAGCGUGGGGAGCGAACAGGAUUAGAUACCCUGGUAGUCCACGCCGUAAACGAUGGAUACUAGCUGUCCGGGACCUUGAGUCCUGGGCGGCCAAGCGAAAGUGAUAAGUAUCCCACCUGGGGAGUAC
rnacentral:rRNA from 1 species